AACGGUAUUAACUGUAAGUCGCUUUGGAUAAAAGCGUCUGCUAAAUGCAAUGUA
rfam:Larimichthys crocea isolate SSNF unplaced genomic scaffold scaffold835, whole genome shotgun sequence.